rnacentral:rRNA from 1 species
UGAGGAAUAUUGCACAAUGGGCGCAAGCCUGAUGCAGCCAUGCCGCGUGUAUGAAGAAGGCCUUCGGGUUGUAAAGUACUUUCAGCGGGGAGGAAGGGAGUAAAGUUAAUACCUUUGCUCAUUGACGUUACCCGCAGAAGAAGCACCGGCUAACUCCGUGCCAGCAGCCGCGGUAAUACGGAGGGUGCAAGCGUUAAUCGGAAUUACUGGGCGUAAAGCGCACGCAGGCGGUUUGUUAAGUCAGAUGUGAAAUCCCCGGGCUCAACCUGGGAACUGCAUCUGAUACUGGCAAGCUUGAGUCUCGUAGAGGGGGGUAGAAUUCCAGGUGUAGCGGUGAAAUGCGUAGAGAUCUGGAGGAAUACCGGUGGCGAAGGCGGCCCCCUGGACGAAGACUGACGCUCAGGUGCGAAAGCGUGGGGAGCAAACAGG